rnacentral:misc_RNA from 1 species
GUUUGGUUCCAAGAUUUUUGCAGGUGAAUACAUUGUCUCUGUCUUCUUUCUGCAUUCCCUUCUACGGUUAUAUUCUGCCUUUGUUUUUGUCCUUGUGUCAAGGUUGGGUGUUAGGAUGCCUCUCAGCAAUACAUUUCAUCUAUCAAUAUCUUUGUUCAGGAUAAGAAUGUAUGGGAGUGUAGGAAAAAAAAUCUUACUAUGCUGUUAUGGGUUAAUGCACGCAUUUGACUAGCUGCAAAUUUAACUUCCAUAUGAUAUUAUCAAAUUAUUAAAACUGCAAUUAGCUAGAAAAUGGUGCAAUGUGAGAGACACAAGCAUCAGAAUCUGUUCUGCCCUCAAUUUAUUAUGGCAAAUAUAUUGAAAUCCUUUUAUUCUCAUGGGAAACACAGAUUUUU